rnacentral:rRNA from 1 species
GACGAACGCUGGCGGCGUGCUUAACACAUGCAAGUCGAACGGGCCUGUCUUCUUUUUUGGGGGUGGGUUGAGUGGCGAACGGGUGAGUAUCACGUGAGUAACCUGCCCUUCGGUCCUGGAUAACCGCUUGAAAGGGCGGCUAAUACGGGGUGGUCCGGUUGGUCCGCAUGGGCUGGUCGGGAUAGAUUCACUGUUUUUGGUGUUUCGGCGGGGGAUGGGCUCGCGGCCUAUCAGCUUGUUGGUGGGGUGAUGGCCUACCAAGGCGGUGACGGGUAGCCGGCCUGAGAGGGUGGGCGGCCACACCGGGACUGAGAUACGGCCCAGACUCCUGCGGGAGGCAGCAGUGGGGGGUAUUGCACAAUGGGCGGAAGCCUGAUGCAGCGACGUCGCGUGAGGGAUGGAGGCCUUCGGGUUGUGAACCUCUGUUUCCGGUGGUGAAGGCCCUGUCCGUGUGGUGGGGUUGACGGUAGCCGGGGAUGAAGCGCCGGCUAACUACGUG